CAUUACCGAGUGCGGGUCCUUUGGGCCCAACCUCCCAUCCGUGUCUAUUAUACCCUGUUGCUUCGGCGGGCCCGCCGCUUGUCGGCCGCCGGGGGGGCGCCUUUGCCCCCCGGGCCCGUGCCCGCCGGAGACCCCAACACGAACACUGUCUGAAAGCGUGCAGUCUGAGUUGAUUGAAUGCAAUCAGUUAAAACUUUCAACAAUGGAUCUCUUGGUUCCGGCAUCGAUGAAGAACGCAGCGAAAUGCGAUAACUAAUGUGAAUUGCAGAAUUCAGUGAAUCAUCGAGUCUUUGAACGCACAUUGCGCCCCCUGGUAUUCCGGGGGGCAUGCCUGUCCGAGCGUCAUUGCUGCCCUCAAGCCCGGCUUGUGUGUUGGGUCGCCGUCCCCCUCUCCGGGGGGACGGGCCCGAAAGGCAGCGGCGGCACCGCGUCCGAUCCUCGAGCGUAUGGGGCUUUGUCACAUGCUCUGUAGGAUUGGCCGGCGCCUGCCGACGUUUUCCAACCAUUUUUUCCAGGUUGACCUCGGAUCAGGUAGGGAUACCCGCUGAACUUAAGCAUAUCAAUAAGCGGAGGAAAAGAAACCAACCGGGAUUGCCUCAGUAACGGCGAGUGAAGCGGCAAGAGCUCAAAUUUGAAAGCUGGCUCCUUCGGAGUCCGCAUUGUAAUUUGCAGAGGAUGCUUUGGGUGCGGCCCCCGUCUAAGUGCCCUGGAACGGGCCGUCAGA
rnacentral:rRNA from 1 species